UACGUAGGGUGCAAGCGUUGUCCGGAUUUACUGGGCGUAAAGAGCGCGCAGGCGGUCGUUCAAGUCGCGUGUGAAAGCCCCCGGCUCAACUGGGGAGGGUCACGCGAUACUGAUCGACUCGAAGGCAGGAGAGGGUAGUGGAAUUCCCGGUGUAGUGGUGAAAUGCGUAGAUAUCGGGAGGAACACCAGUGGCGAAGGCGACUACCUGGCCUGUUUCUUGACGCUGAGGCGCGAAAGCUAGGGGAGCAAACGGG
rnacentral:rRNA from 1 species